rnacentral:lncRNA from 1 species
UUUUUGACAAGGCUCCUCCCAAGAAGCCAAGGUGUCAAGGAACGCCUCAGACAAAGUUGACAAGAUUCAAAAGUGGUUUGGGUAAAAGAGACUCAAUCCUAGAGGGGCAUUUGAUUCCAAAAGGGAAGAAGACGUACUUCAUCUGGAACAUCGUGAAGUCACAGAAGAACUUCACAAGUGUUCCGAUCGGAAGGGAGCCCUUUGAGUAAGUGAAAUGAAGCGUGAAUAACUGCCUAAUUAGUGGACAUGAAAACUGGACAGUCUCCAAAGUCAUCAGAGAUGACCACGCUUGCCAGGCAACUUACUAGACUAAGGUGAGGAUGCAGUGGCCAGAAGAGGCAGCCCAGGGAAGAUCUGAGGUGAACCCUCUGGUUGGAAAGCCUUGGCAAAUUGGAGGAAUGAAAAGAAAAAAGAGUAAAUCUACAACAAGGAUCAGCAAACUCCAGUCUACAGGCCAAAUCCAGCCUGCUGCCUGUUUAUGUCAAUAAAGUUUUAUUGGAACAUAGCC